CCAAUAGCGUAUAUUAAAGUUGUUGCAGUUAAAAAGCUCGUAGUUGAAUUUCGGAAUUUGUCGGUUGGUCGGGCUUCACUGUCCGCACUGGCCUGAUGGAUUCCUACCUUCUGAAUAACCAGCAUGCUAUUAAUUUAGUGCGUUGGGGAAGCAGAGCUAUUACCUUGAAAAAAUUAGAGUGCUUAAAGCAGGCUCACGCUUGAAUAGAUUAGCAUGGAAUAAUAAAAUAGGACGGCUUGGUUCUAUUUUGUUGGUUUCUAGGAUCACCGUAAUGAUUAAUAGGGAUAGUUGGGGGCAUUAGUAUUCAAUUGUCAGAGGUGAAAUUCUUGGAUUUAUUGAAGACUAACUUCUGCGAAAGCAUUUGCCAAGGAUGUUUUCAUUAAUCAAGAACGAAAGUUAGGGGAUCGAAGACGAUCAGAUACCGUCGUAGUCUUAACCAUAAACUAUGCCGACUAGGGAUCGGACGAUGUUAAUUUUUUAAUGACUCGUUCGGCGCCUUACG
rnacentral:misc_RNA from 1 species